AACCUUAAAUGACCAAAAUUCAAAAGAGGGGGUUAAAACUCCCAAAAAUUCUGAAGUAUCCUAACUUCAGAAUUUUGGGGAGUUUUAACCCCCCUUUUUGAAUUUUGGUCAUUUAAGGUU